rnacentral:tRNA from 1 species
GGCCCGUUGGUGAAUCGGUUAUCACGCGGCCCUUUCAAGGCUGAGUGAGGGGUUCGACUCCCCUACGGGCUA